rnacentral:rRNA from 1 species
UACGUAGGGUGCAAGCGUUAAUCGGAAUUACUGGGCGUAAAGCGUGCGCAGGCGGUUCGGAAAGAGAGGUGUGAAAUCCCAGGGCUUAACCUUGGAACUGCACUUCUUACUACCGGGCUAGAGUACGUCAGAGGGGGGUAGAAUUCCACGUGUAGCAGUGAAAUGCGUAGAGAUGUGGAGGAAUACCGAUGGCGAAGGCAGCCCCCUGGGAUGAUACUGACGCUCAUGCACGAAAGCGUGGGGAGCAAACAGG